rnacentral:rRNA from 1 species
ACUUAAAACUCAAAGGACUUGGCGGUGUCCCACAUUCGACCUAGAGGAGCCUGUCCUAUAAUCGAUACUCCCCGCUCUACCUCACCAGCACUAGCACUAACUUCAGCCUAUAUACCGCCGUCGACAGCUUACCCCCUGAGGGUUUAACAGUAAGCACAAUAGUCCUACCACUAACACGUCAGGUCAAGGUGUAGCUAAUGUGCUGGCAGAGAUUGGCUACAUUUUUUACUUUAAAAAACACGAAAUGCUAUAUGAAAAACAGCAUGAAGGCGAAUUUAGUAGUAAAACAGACA